AUGGAGAGCACCAUGAAGGAGAUACGGGGAGGCGGGGCGCCGUGCGUGCUGGACAUGGACGACGCGGCGACGGUGGGCGGCGGCGUCGAGGACACCUACGGCGAGGACCGCGCCACCGAGGAGCAGCUCGUCACGCCGUGGACCGUCUCUGUCGCGAGUGGUUACAAUUUGUUGAGGGAUCCACGCUACAACAAGGGGCUUGCCUUCACAGAGAAGGAGCGCGAGACACACUACCUUCGUGGCCUUCUGCCACCAACCGUCAUAUCCCAGGAGCUGCAGGAGAGGAAGAUCAUGCAUAAUAUUCGCCAGUACCAGCUACCUCUGCAGCGUUACAUGGCUAUGAUGGACCUUCAAGAGGGGAAUGAGAGGCUUUUCUACAAGCUCCUCAUUGACAAUGUUGAGGAGCUGCUUCCUAUUGUGUACACUCCAACUGUUGGUGAGGCCUGCCAAAAGUACGGAUCUAUAUUUAGUCGUCCGCAGGGUCUUUACAUCAGCUUGAAAGAGAAGGGAAAGAUCCUUGAGGUGCUGAAGAACUGGCCUGAGAGGAGCAUUCAGGUUAUUGUCGUUACUGACGGUGAACGUAUUUUGGGGCUUGGAGAUCUUGGAUGCCAGGGAAUGGGGAUUCCUGUUGGUAAGCUUUCCCUUUACACUGCUCUAGGAGGGGUUCGUCCAUCUGCAUGCUUGCCAAUCACAUUGGAUGUUGGUACAAAUAAUGAGGAGCUUCUGAAUGAUGAAUUUUACAUUGGCUUGAGGCAAAGAAGGGCCAUUGGCCAGGAGUAUGCUGAUUUUCUGCAUGAAUUUAUGGCUGCUGUGAAGCAAAACUAUGGGGAGAAAGUUCUCAUUCAGUUUGAGGAUUUUGCAAACCACAAUGCCUUUGAUCUCCUUGCAAGAUAUGGAACAACCCACCUGGUAUUCAAUGAUGACAUUCAGGGAACAGCUUCGGUGGUCCUUGCUGGGCUUGUUGCAGCACUGAAAUUAGUUGGUGGUACAUUAGCAGAGCACACCUACCUGUUCUUAGGAGCUGGAGAGGCUGGGACAGGUAUUGCGGAGCUUAUAGCUCUUGAGAUGUCAAGACAGGUGACAAAAACACCAAUAGACGAAUGCCGCAAGAAAAUCUGGCUUGUUGAUUCAAAGGGCCUGAUUGUCAGUGCGCGAAAGGAGUCCCUUCAACACUUCAAGAAACCAUGGGCUCAUGAGCAUGAGCAUGUCGGCAACCUCUUAGAUGCAGUGAAUGCUAUCAAACCAACAGUGUUGAUUGGCACAUCUGGAAAGGGGCAGACUUUCACACAGGAGGUUGUUGAAGCCAUUUCCUCAUUUAAUGAGAUGCCUAUCAUUCUUGCCCUGUCCAACCCAACGUCGCAGGCUGAGUGCACUGCUGAACAAGCUUACACAUGGAGCAAGGGUCGAGCAGUGUUUGCAACUGGAAGCCCAUUUGAUCCAGUGGAGUACAAUGGCAAGAUAUAUGUUCCUGGCCAGGCAAACAAUGCAUAUAUCUUUCCAGGGUUUGGCCUUGGGGUGGUGAUGUCUGGGGCAAUCCGUGUGCAUGAUGACAUGCUUCUUGCAGCAUCGGAGGCUCUGGCUCAGCAGGUCACACAGGAGAAUUUUGACAAGGGGCUCAUUUAUCCCCCCUUCUCAAAUAUCAGAAAGAUCUGUGCUCACAUCGCGGCCAACGUUGCAGCAAAGGCAUAUGAACUUGGUUUGGCGAGUAGGCGCCCUCGACCGAAGGACCUGGUCAAGUAUGCAGAGAGCUGCAUGUACAGCCCGAUUUACCGCAAUUACCGGUGA
rnacentral:rRNA from 1 species